rnacentral:lncRNA from 1 species
GAGACGUGGGAACGGGAAAAGGCGGACCACGUGACACCUCGGGCUUGUGGCGCUCCGGGCUUGCUAGGCUCACUCCUAACUUGCCUCGGCGAGUGUCACUGAGUGUUGCCUGUUUGGACUCUGAACUAGACAGUUCUAGAUCUGGGAUAUGUUACCUAACUUUUUUUAUUAGUGGAAGAAUAUUCCCACUGCUCCACUGAGGCCUACAGAAAGGUGAAGGGAGAAGCGUGCUGGAUAGAAAGAACAGGAGUUGCUCAGUGUGUGUCGGCAUCCAGCCACAGGUCAGCUGGGUCCUGCUCAGCUGUCACAGCAAAGAGACUACUGUGCAGAGCUGUAGCCUCAAGGGAAGCUGACUCCCUUCUCAAGUCACUGGGGAGCUCCUUAAACAGGGAGGCAAACACCACCACCAAUAACAUUUUCAAGAACUCUCUGAAAAAGACUAGAUUUGCUAGGCCCUUCCCUACCAGAGGAAGCAGUGUCAGCUGCAAAGAAGACUCUGGACCAGCUGAGCUGCCAGGAAGACUCUGAGACAAAAGGAGUUGCCUGGAAGAGAUUAAGACCAACUGAGGCACUUGAAAAGGACACCAUCCAACCUCUGGAGCUGCCUGUGGGCUGUGCGGUUUGCUCCAGGUUUCCCAGAUUUUAUGAGC